AUGCUUUUGUAGUUCACGAGCACGAUGAUUGGGUGUUCAUGCUUAUGUGUGAGAUGUGCCACCCUCGAACCUUGUUACAAGGACAGCACAUUACCCAUCUGGCA